rfam:Schistosoma mansoni strain Puerto Rico chromosome 3, complete genome
AUCCAGCUGACGAGUCACAAACAGGAUGAAACGAGAGUCCUGUAU